rnacentral:ncRNA from 2 species
GCUUAUUCUCAGGGCGGGGUGCAAUUCCCCACCGGCGGUAAACCUGGCUAAAGUAUUGCACAGGAAGCCCGCGAGCGCUCAGGUUGCAUUGCAGUCUGAGGUCAGCAGAUCCGGUGUAAUUCCGGGGCCGACGGUAAUAGUCCGGAUGGGAGAGAGUAACG